CUCUUCUCAUGAGCACCACUCUGUCUAACGGUGACAGUGAAUGGAUUCGCAAGAGAAGUAGAGCAAAGUGACAUUUACACAAGGCAUUUACCUAGUGGUAGGUGCCCAUGUCCAAUGUGAGACAUUU
rnacentral:snoRNA from 1 species